rnacentral:rRNA from 1 species
AUGUUUCUCAAUAAGCAUAAUGAUGGCGUUCUCAACCCAGAUAGAACAACUUUCAUCUCAAGGCUUGCACAACUACUUGCAUCUGUUCCAGAUAAAGCAAGAAUGGGAGCCUCAUCUGCGCUUACAGCGUCGUCAUUCUUCAAGAGUGUUGUCAGCCAACUUCUUGUUCGAGCGGAAGAAGCAGCUAUCGAGUCGUAUGCUAACAAAGAGUUUAAUGAACAGGAUGCACUAAGUUCUGUGUUGCUCUUUGUGGGUGAAGUGUUAUCCUGUGUUAGCCGUCGUGGAUCUACUGAUGCAUUGGUCUUUUCAGGCAUUUUAGUUGCUGAAUUGAUCCCUAUGAUCCGUAAUCACUUACAAAGAUGUGUAGCACCAGACUGUAAGAUGGUAAUUCCGGACAUGAUCAAGCAUGUUCCUCAGUCUCGGUUUUGGUUCAAUGUGGUUGAAGCAUUGAGAGGUCAGCAUUCUAUUGAAAGAUUGACUGAAGAGAUGUUGCGCCAACUUGCAUCACACCAUUUAAAUGAUGAAGAAGCGUACUGGAUUUUGUGGACUCUGUUUAAUCAGAGUAUCAUGCAUAUUGCUGUUAUGAGGUGA